rnacentral:pre_miRNA from 1 species
GAGACACCCCUAUGGGGCAGGACUUGCUUCAGUGGGACUUUGGAGCUCACUGUAUUUUCCCCUUGAGUGUGUUGCU